rnacentral:rRNA from 1 species
AGAGUUUGAUCAUGGCUCAGAAUGAACGCUGGCGGCGUGGAUUAGGCAUGCAAGUCGAACGAGAAUGCGAUCUUCGGAUCGCUAGUACAGUGGCGAACGGGUGAGUAACGCGUGGGAAACCUGCCCUCGAGUGGGGAAUAACAACUCUAACGGGUUGCUAAUACCGCAUAACAUUGCGGGCCGCAUGGUCUGCAAUCAAAGGUGGCCUCUACUUGUAAGCUGUCGCUUGAGGAUGGUCCCGCGUCCCAUUAGCUAGUUGGUAGGGUAACGGCCUACCAAGGCGACGAUGGGUAGCCGGCCUGAGAGGGUGGUCGGCCACACUGGAACUGAGACACGGUCCAGACUCCUACGGGAGGCAGCAGUCGAGAGGCUUCGGCAAUGGGGGAAACCCUGACCGAGCGACGCCGCGUGGGUGAUGAAGUCCUUCGGGAUGUAAAACCCUGUCAUACGGGAUGAAAAACCGAUUGGUUAAUAGCCUUUCAGUUUGACAGUACUGUAAGAGGAAGCUCCGGCUAACUCCGUGCCAGCAGCCGCGGUAAUACGGGGGGAGCGAGCGUUAUUCGGAUUCACUGGGCGUAAAGGGUUCGUAGGCGGUCAAGUAAGUCAGGGGUGAAAUCUAACGGCUUAACCGUUAAACUGCCCUUGAAACCGCUUGACUUGAGGACAUGAGAGGAAAGCGGAAUUCUUGGUGUAGCGGUGAAAUGCGUGGAUAUCAAGAGGAACACCGGUGGCGAAGGCGGCUUUCUGGCAUGUUACUGACGCUGAGGAACGAAAGUCAGGGGAGCGAACGGGAUUAGAUACCCCGGUAGUCCUGACUGUAAACGAUGGGCACUAGGUGUGGGAGGUAUCGACCCCUUCCGUGCCGCAGCUAACGCAUUAAGUGCCCCGCCUGGGAGUACGGCCGCAAGGUUGAAACUCAAAGGAAUUGACG